rnacentral:tRNA from 15 species
GCGGGAAUAGCUCAGUUGGUAGAGCACAACCUUGCCAAGGUUGGGGUCGCGGGUUCGAGUCCCGUUUCCCGCUCCA